CGGACGGGUGAGUAACACGUGGAUAACCUACCUAUAAGACUGGGAUAACUUCGGGAAACCGGAGCUAAUACCGGAUAAUAUAUUGAACCGCAUGGUUCAAUAGUGAAAGACGGUUUUGCUGUCACUUAUAGAUGGAUCCGCGCCGCAUUAGCUAGUUGGUAAGGUAACGGCUUACCAAGGCGACGAUGCGUAGCCGACCUCGAGACGGGUGAUCGGCCACACUUGGAACUGAGACACGGUCAAG
rnacentral:rRNA from 1 species